UAGUCCACGCCGUAAACGAUGAUUACUCGCUGUAGGCGAUACACAGUCUGUGGCUAAGCGAAAGUUUUAAGUAAUCCACCUGGGGAGUACGAUCGCAAGAUUGAAACUCAAAGGAAUUGACGGGGGCCCGCACAAGCGGAGGAACAUGUGGUUUAAUUCGAUGAUACGCGAGGAACCUUACCUGGACUUAAAUGUGCGUUGCAUAGAUUGGAGACAGUCUUUUCUUCGGACUACGUACAAGGUGCUGCAUGGUUGUCGUCAGCUCGUGCCGUGAGGUGUUGGGUUAAGUCCCGCAACGAGCGCAACCCCUAUUGUUAGUUGCCAGCGAGUAAUGUCGGGAACUCUAACGAGACUGCCCGCGUAAGCGGAGAGGAAGGUGGGGACGACGUCAAAUCAUCAUGGCCUCUAUGCCUAGGGCUACACACGUGCUACAAUGGCAGGUACAGAGGGUUGCGAAGGGGUGACCUGGAGCUAAUCUCAGAAAGCCUGUCCCAGUUCGGAUUGG
rnacentral:rRNA from 1 species